GACAGAGGUGCCGAGCGUUAGGCGGAAUCACUGGGCUUAAAGCGUGUGUAGGCGGAUGGGUAAGUACCUUGUGAAAUCCCACGGCUCAACCGUGGAACUGCUCGGUAUACUGCCCGUCUUGAGCCAGCUAGGGGCAACCGGAACAAACGGUGGAGCGGUGAAAUGCGUAGAUAUCAGGAGGAACACCAAUUGCGAAGGCAGCUCGCUGGGACGUUACUGACGCUGAGACGCGAAAGCGUGGGGAGCAAACAGG
rnacentral:rRNA from 1 species